AAAGUGCACGUAAGUGGUGUUGACGCUGCAUUUCUUUGUUUCGAGAGCUCGUCUGCGCUUUUCGAUCUGUUGGAAGCGACAUUAUAAUAGCGCGGCCAAAAUUUGGUGUGUUGUGGUUUCUGGAGGUGCACUCAAUGUGCAAGAGUUCGCAUGCCAAAGCAUGUCGUGCAAGCGCAUUAAGAGACUGUUGGUGCGUCGUGAUAUGCAUGGAGCAGCGA
rnacentral:lncRNA from 1 species